rnacentral:lncRNA from 1 species
AUUUUUAAGUAGCACUGAAGAAUAAUAUCACUAAUUUCCCCCUCUUUGGGAACAGGCGCCAUUUGUGAAAAACAUGAGCAGGAGAACAUUCUAGAACACAAUCAAGGAAGCUAUGGGACAUUUCUGAGGGGGGAAGGGAAGCAAGUCAGAGUCUGAAGGUGAAGGACAUACCACUAAACUGUUAAGCUGAAAUGGAAAGAGUGAAGCCAGAACCACAGAGGUCACUGCUGGCUAUUAGCACCUUUUCCAGUCACUCUUGCUUCUAAAAUGUUGAAAAUGAGAUCCAGUGUGUGAGCCCGGAGAAGAGAUGCUGCUGUUUUAAAUAGAGUCAUGGGGGAGUCACUUCCCAUCCAAGAUCUUUAAAAUAGCCUAUGUGCUAUUCCCUCCAAGCUCAAGGACCAGGAGACAGAAGCCAACAUCUAGCCAGACAAGAUUUGUCUUGUGGUGGUUCUAGAGACGGGACCUCAUCAAGAACCCUGCACUGUGCCUCGUCCCCAGCCCUGAGAUGUUGACUCCUAACUGUGGUAUUUCAGCUUAAAUUGAUUCUGA